rfam:Capsicum annuum cultivar Zunla-1 chromosome 5, whole genome shotgun sequence
AUACUUACCUCUACGGGGUGAAUGGGUGAUAAACAAGGUCCGUGGCCUAGGUUGGUGACCUGCAUUUCACUUUAGAGGGGUGCCUGCCUAAGGUCGUCCCAAGUGGCCAAGCCUACAUCAUAAUUUAUGGCAGUGCGGACUUGCAUUCCCGCUGCCCCUAC